rnacentral:ncRNA from 1 species
CAGGGGCGUCCGCCGCGCGCGGGCUGAGAAGUACCCUCCGAACCUGAACCGGAUCAUGCCGGCGUAGGGAGUUGCA